GACGAACGCUGGCGGCGUGCUUAACACAUGCAAGUCGAGCGAGUGGAUUCCCUUCGGGGAUGAAGCUAGCGGCGGACGGGUGAGUAACACGUGGGCAACCUGCCUUAUAGAGGGGGAUAGCCUUCCGAAAGGAAGAUUAAUACCGCAUAACAUCAGAUUAUCGCUUGGUAGACUGAUCAAAGGAGCAAUCCGCUAUAAGAUGAGCCCGCGUCGCAUUAGCUAGUUGGUGAGGUAACGGCUCACCAAGGCGACGAUGCGUAGCCGACCUGAGAGGGUGAUCGGCCACAUUGGGACUGAGACACGGCCCAGACUCCUACGGGAGGCAGCAGUGGGGAAUAUUGCACAAUGGGGGAAACCCUGAUGCAGCAACGCCGCGUGAGUGAUGAAGGCCUUCGGGUUGUACAGCUCUUUGAUCAGGGACGAUAAUGACGGUACCUGAAGAACAAGCCACGGCUAACUACGUGCCAGCCGCCGCCGUAAUAC
rnacentral:rRNA from 1 species